GACAGAGGGUGCGAACGUUGUUCGGAAUUACUGGGCGUAAAGCGCGUGUAGGCGGCAACGCAAGUCGGGCGUGAAAUCCCACGGCUCAACCGUGGAAGUGCACUCGAAACUGCGUAGCUAGAGUCCUGGAGAGGAAGGUGGAAUGCUUGGUGUAGAGGUGAAAUUCGUAGAUAUCAAGCGGAACACCGGUGGCGAAGGCGGCCUUCUGGACCGAUAUUGACGCUGAGGAGCGAAAGCCAGGGGAGCAAACGGG
rnacentral:rRNA from 1 species